rnacentral:misc_RNA from 1 species
GUAAAUCAUACUUAGGAUGAACUUUUUGGCUCUUAGGAUGUUCUCAUUUUAAAAUAUGCAAGUAAUGUAACACUUUAUUUGGUAGCAAAACCGGAGUAAAACUAAAGGGAAUGAUACUAGAAAGUAUAUUUCAUGAGAUUAAAGUUUUACAUGGAUGAAAACUGACACGACUGAUGGUAAAUAGGAUUCAUCAUUGUAAAUGGAAAUAGAUGAUACAAGGUUUGGCUUAGAGUGGGAGCCAAAUAGAAGAA